CUGUCUAUGAUGUCAUCCUUCAUACCUACAUUGUUUGACUUCUGUGAGAAGAACCGAACACACCUGAGACAG
ensembl:snoRNA SNORD34 Small nucleolar RNA SNORD34